rnacentral:rRNA from 1 species
UACAGAGGGUGCAAGCGUUGUCCGGAAUCACUGGGCGUAAAGGGCGCGUAGGUGGCCUGAUAAGUAGGAGGUGAAAUCCUGGGGCUUAACCUCAGGGCUGCCUUCUAGACUGUCCGGCUCGAGCACAGUAGAGGCAGGUGGAAUUCCCGGUGUAGCGGUGGAAUGCGUAGAGAUCGGGAAGAACAUCGGUGGCGAAGGCGGCCUGCUGGGCUGUUGCUGACACUGAGGCGCGACAGCGUGGGGAGCAAACAGG